rnacentral:tRNA from 1 species
GCGUUGGUGGUUCAGUGGUAGAAUACUCGCCUGCCACGCGGGUGACCCGGGUUCGAUUCCCGGCUGACGCA